rnacentral:rRNA from 1 species
AAUGGGUCAGCGACUUAUAUUCUGUAGCAAGGUUAACCGAAUAGGGGAGCCGAAGGGAAACCGAGUCUUAACUGGGCGUUAAGUUGCAGGGUAUAGACCCGAAACCCGGUGAUCUAGCCAUGGGCAGGUUGAAGGUUGGGUAACACUAACUGGAGGACCGAACCGACUAAUGUUGAAAAAUUAGCGGAUGACUUGUGGCUGGGGGUGAAAGGCCAAUCAAACCGGGAGAUAGCUGGUUCUCCCCGAAAGCUAUUUAGGUAGCGCCUCGUGAAUUCAUCUCCGGGGGUAGAGCACUGUUUCGGCAAGGGGGUCAUCCCGACUUACCAACCCGAUGCAAACUGCGAAUACCGGAGAAUGUUAUCACGGGAGACACACGGCGGGUGCUAACGUCCGUCGUGAAGAGGGAAACAACCCAGACCGCCAGCUAAGGUCCCAAAGUCAUGGUUAAGUGGGAAACGAUGUGGGAAGGCCCAGACAGCCAGGAUGUUGGCUUAGAAGCAGCCAUCAUUUAAAGAAAGCGUAAUAGCUCACUGGUCGAGUCGGCCUGCGCGGAAGAUGUAACGGGGCUAAACCAUGCACCGAAGCUGCGGCAGCGACGCUUAUGCGUUGUUGGGUAGGGGAGCGUUCUGUAAGCCUGUGAAGGUGUGCUGUGAGGCAUGCUGGAGGUAUCAGAAGUGCGAAUGCUGACAUAAGUAACGAUAAAGCGGGUGAAAAGCCCGCUCGCCGGAAGACCAAGGGUUCCUGUCCAACGUUAAUCGGGGCAGGGUGAGUCGACCCCUAAGGCGAGGCCGAAAGGCGUAGUCGAUGGGAAACAGGUUAAUAUUCCUGUACUUGGUGUUACUGCGAAGGGGGGACGGAGAAGGCUAUGUUGGCCGGGCGACGGUUGUCCCGGUUUAAGCGUGUAGGCUGGUUUUCCAGGCAAAUCCGGAAAAUCAAGGCUGAGGCGUGAUGACGAGGCACUACGGUGCUGAAGCAACAAAUGCCCUGCUUCCAGGAAAAGCCUCUAAGCAUCAGGUAACAUCAAAUCGUACCCCAAACCGACACAGGUGGUCAGGUAGAGAAUACCAAGGCGCUUGAGAGAACUCGGGUGAAGGAACUAGGCAAAAUGGUGCCGUAACUUCGGGAGAAGGCACGCUGAUAUGUAGGUGAAGCGACUUGCUCGUGGAGCUGAAAUCAGUCGAAGAUACCAGCUGGCUGCAACUGUUUAUUAAAAACACAGCACUGUGCAAACACGAAAGUGGACGUAUACGGUGUGACGCCUGCCCGGUGCCGGAAGGUUAAUUGAUGGGGU